CAAGAAAAACAAAGGGCAACUAGGAGUUAAAUCGAACUGCACGGAUUAGCAUCUGUGAAAGGGGACCAAUUGAGCUUGAGCGAGUCCUGGGAACAAAAACCAUUCAAAACAUAAGGACUUGGCUCAGACUUUUAAAUGCCAGCUGCAUUCUAUUUUUACAUGGGAACAGAGCACCACUGGGGGAAAGAAGGGGCCUCCCCCUCUUUGGAAAGCAUAAAAUCACACUGUUUCUUUCAAUAAAUGACUUCGUUACUCUCGAGUGCUGAGAAAUGAACAGAAAUAUGACGAAUGAAAAGGAAAUUGAAGAAUGAACAUUCCCGGUGGUAUACUCCUGAGCUGGACGGAGGGAAGGAUAUAUUGAGUACUCAUCAGAGGUUUUCAUCACCGAUCGCUGGAUGACACAGGUCCAUAUUGGAUUCCAGCAAGGAGCGUCAAGCCUGCUCAGACGAUUUUCAGAGACAUCGAAGAAGAUGUAUCUCUGGACACAUGAAGGAUCAAGAAUGAGAAAACAAUGGUGUAUGUUGUGUAUAUGUGUAACGUUAACAUGGAAUGUUCAGGUUGAUGCAAAUGUGUGCUGGGCGCACAUUCUGGAUCCUCCAGUGUUCCGAUUGUUAACCUGAUGGGAUGCUUCUCCACCAAUUAGUAGUAAUGAUACCCAAUGGUCCAGAGGGGUAUGGCUUCCUCCUGCUUCGGAUACUUAAAUGUUUGAAAUGAAUGAAACAACCAUGGUAACAGAUUUUCCUCCUAUAUGUCUCAUUAAUGCCAGUGAUUCAGAAUUUUGUUUAAGGAUGCAACCACAACAACGUCUAGUAGCAAUAAAAAGCAAGACUCGUGAAUUUUGCAAUUGUUACCAUUCCUGGUCUAUCGUUACACAAUAUUACUCCUAUAAAAAACUCAGAGUCCCUGCACCCUUCUAGUUUUCAUCAUUCUUUAGUAUGGCAUAAUGGAGGAUCUGCAGGGUCUGUUCUUCAGUAUUAUUUUUACACUAAUUCACAGCUAUCUCCUGCACAUACUAACCUUUGGCGUCUUGGCUCACCUUUUUUUCAGUGGAAGCUAUAUCAAGUAUCUUUAUAUGAUAGUCAUACUAAUGCUUACUUAACUUUGCUAAGAGAAGAUUCUGUUACAAUGAGCACUACUCACCCUUACUUGAUUGUAAUCGCACCUACUAUUCACAUUAUUUUAUGUAGUCAUUCCUUUUGUGUGAUGUUACACUCUCCCAAGUUUAAGGCAUGCAUAGCACAUACUGAUGUGAUAAACAGUACAUACAUCUUUCUUUUACAGUGGCGUCCAGAGUUAUGGUUACCUGUUAACACGAAACUGGGAAGGCGAGAAUGGCUUAGCCCAAUUUGCUAGGUACUGCAAGUCACGUUAGUUGUCACAAUGCUUCAAUUCCUCUGGUCAGCUCUUCGAAGAGUUAAAAAGGUAGAAGCUCGAGUUAUGGCCACACUGGUUAUAAAAGAAAUGGUCAUAAACAAAAAAGGGGGAGGGGUGGAAGAUGAAAAACAUGUUAACUGCAGAGGAAUUGGCAGCAUGAGACUUUGCAGUACAGAACAAGAACAAGAAGAACAAGGACAACUAGGAGUUAAAGUGAACUUGAUUGAGUGACUCCUGGGAACAAAAACCACCUCAUUCAAAAGAUAAGGACUUGGCUCAGACUUUUGGAUGCCAGCUGCAAAGGACCCUUAUCUUCAUUCUAUUUUUACAUGGGAACAGGGCACAGCUGGGGGAAAGAAGGGGCCUCCCCUUCUUUGGAAAGCAUAGAAUUUUCUUUCAAUAAACGAUUUUGGUACUCUCA